ACGUCAUUCAGCAGUCCCUGCCCAUUGCUGCUGUCCCAAAGCAAGCACAAGUCUGAACUUUUCUCAAAGCCGAUAGAUACGAACCGGAUUGAUUAAGGAAAGAGUGCGAGUCAACUGCACUUUUAUACUCACAUUGAGGUUCAUUGCAAGUGGAGUAAUGUCAUUUUGUUCCUUCUUCGGUGGUGAGGUCUUUAAAGACCACUUUAAAACUGGGUUGUAUGUGUGUGCCCAGUGUGGACACCAGCUGUUCUCCAGCAGAUCCAAGUACGAGCAUUCCUCCCCCUGGCCUGCCUUCACUGAGACUGUCCUCCAGGACAGUGUGUCCAAGCACGAGGAAAGACCUGGGGCAUUCAAGGUCCGAUGUGGGAAGUGUGGAAAUGGACUGGGUCAUGAGUUUGUGGGCGACGGGCCAAAGAAAGGACUCUCACGUUUCUGAAUAUUCAGCAGCUCACUGAAGUUCGUCCCUAAAGAUAAGGUAGAUGGACUGUAAGGUGAGCAGCAGGGGUAUGGAGUCACAGUGGUGGUCGAGCAGUAGGAUUCUCUGGAGUCUCUGUGCUGCUGAAGGUGUGGAGGACAGUGGAUGAAGUGUCCUGUGAUAAAGCCCACUCUGGGACCUCCAGGACACUGAUGGUCAAUGUCUUCACUGUACAAGGACAGGGGAACCAAAUAGCCAGCUACAUUACGCAAUAAUGCACAAUCAUAAUAGAACAAUACUACACAAUCAUAACACAGACGCACAAGGAGUCACACGGUUACACAAAGAUAGCCUCUUUCAUUUAAUCAUUGUUUAAUUUUUAUUUGAACAUUGUCAGUGAAAGGGGGGAUCACUACGUAGCCUUCAUAGUGUUGAAUGUAACUUCAAGAGUUCCUAAUUUAUAUACAGUAGUGCUCUGAUGUAUGGCUCAAUCUAUCAAUGUAUAACUAUGUGUUAAUCAGUUCUAUCAAUGACGUUGUGAGCCUCUUAAAGAUAGAUUUUAUUUACAUCACUGUCUAUCGUCUUACGGUCACAAUGUAUAAUAUGCAAACAAAAAGAGAAAUAAAGAUAUACUUUUAUAGAAGA